UCCAGCGGAGGAUGUGGGGCAGGAAGAGGGAAGAGGGCCAAUCUCUGUCUAAUGGUUCCAAACAGGGCCCGGGCCCGGCCCUCUGGAUGCUGACGAGUGGGAAAUGAAACACAGAUGGGUCAGAUGGGUAAGGAGAGGGGGAUUACAGGUCAGGCCAAAGAGUUGGAAUAAAUUAAGUGCUUAUGAGGUACAGAAUGGCACAUUGUUUAAGUGAAUGGACAGGGAAAAAACAUUCCAGCAUUGUUCAUCCGCCGAGGGAGCCCAACGCUCCUCUUCCCAGACGAGCCCAGGCCACAGAGCGCCUCCUCCUCGCCAGGAUGUUUGUGACCCACAGACUGAAAACGCGGCCAGGCGGUGCCCGAAACAUUAUCCUAGCCUCCAAAGAGGCCAGUUUGGCUUUAUUACACGGGAGAUGUAAUUUAUUGGGAGAAAUGUUUGGGUUCGUGUGUCGGAUGGUGGAGAGUCAGAUUUGGAGUUCCCUAGGGAUCUCCGAGGAGAAGGUGUGUUAAGGAAAUCACCAAGUCCCAGAGUGUAGACAAGCCCGAUCCCUUCGCAGCAGAAGCAGAUGUUCACAAAGCAACUGACCAGGCCAGGUGUGUCCUUCAAGGCUACCUGCAUUCAACAGAGGCGACCACAGCCCAGACCCAUCCUUCUUGGGAGAAUUUCAAGAUGCUCCACAUAGUGGUGCCUAGCGCUCUGUGCACUCAGAGGCUAGAAGAAAAGAUACAGAGGUCCUCUUUCAAGGAGAGGCCCUGAUGUUUCUAUUCUUACAAGGAUUCUUUGGUAAUAAAUACAGUGAAAACACCGUCACCGUAGAGAUAAUACUUAAUGCUCAAGAGGUACGUAGCAGAGAUUGCAUUCCAAUCAAGGACUUCCGUAACCCUGUCUACCAAGCCAGUAUCACCUGUAGGCCAGUUCACCUUCAUCCAGUCACUUUACAGCACUUGAGUGUUUGCUGUCCGCUCAAUUAAAAUCCUACUCUGGUGGGAAAAACCAGAUUUCCAAAUGGGGACUUUAUUGAUUCAAUAAAAUUUAAGAAAUUCUGCUUAUGGAAAAACUCAUUAACCCAAACUAAUAAAUACGAGUUUACCCUGCA